rnacentral:lncRNA from 1 species
GCGGAGCUCCACGCCUCCGUGAGGUUAACCCCUUGGCAGAAGGCAGAAUGGAAGAGAGACUGACCACUGGUGGCUGCAGAUGCUCUGGUUACUAACAGCCACAAGUCAAGUCAACGUGAUCUGGAAGCCAGGAUCAGGUCGUCCUUCCAAACAGCAGUGUCUGCAGACAGUAAACUUCGGAUCAAAGCAGCAGGGCAAAAUGAACUGCCUAAGCCCCAUGGGUCACCUAAAUGAAACAGGAAAAGACAAAUAAAGGAAAAAGAAACAGCCUUCUCAGGCGAGUGGCAAAGGCAGCAGGACAGUGGAGGGACUGUCACAUGCAUGCCACGCCCUCCCCACAGGCUGUGUGUCAGCUCUGUCACAGCAGCUGCUGCCAGGAGCACAGAGGAAAACAGGUGUCCAUGCUGGCUUUUUAUAACAGACCUGAGUAGCGAAUAGAGACUGCAAAGAAUGGGGCCAGGGCCACCAAAUAUUCUUCCCGGCCUUGGAGACCCCACCAUGCCAGGGCCUGGGCCGUUCAGUGCUUCAGUGUUUACCAAGAUCCAGAGGAUGUGGCCCCUGCAGGGACAAUGAGGAAGAGCCAGUGAUUAGAAAAGAACUCCAGAUGGAGAGCUUCACGUUGUCGGCAGAUUUAGAAAAAGCCCCUGGAAUCUGCACGGGUGGUACAGCCGGGUGCAGACUGACAAGCGAGGAAUCUUCCAUCUCAUCGCCUCAAUUUCAGGCUUCAGAGAUGCCCGGCUCUGCUGUUCAAAGAGUUUUAUUAAAAAUUUGUGAGGAGGGAAAAGAAGUCUGUGCAGGCCUGUCUGGUGCCAUUACGUCUGACACAGCACACGGAGCCGCGGAGCCGCGGACUGCCCGGGACAGCCACCGCAGGGGGGCGCACAGCAGAGGCCAUGGGAGCCCCCGGGGAAUGGUCCCAGAUGCUCUAGUCUGGUGGGGUCCCUCCAGAAUCGUGAGUCUCCAUAUGUGACCCAGUGUAUACUUCCAGUCCUUAGACCACCAGCAUUCCAGUCAGAAGACAAACACCCACGGAUCCCAACGUUGAACUUGUCCCCUCGGUAUAACUUCUGCUACUGCUCCUCUCAUGAGCAAAACUCCCUUCUCUGAUCAUUUUCUCUGUAAACCUAGAUCGAGCGACACACUGCCAGCAGCUCCUCUGCAGCUAUGAAGUGUGGCAUGAAUCCAGCCUUCCCUGAAGCUGGGCGCUGCCACGCGGAUUGCAAUCUAGACAACGUCUGGAUCCCCCACAUUCUGGGCACAGACCUCACAAGACCCUUAAAGGCAGGGAUUCGCCUGACGGGCAGCCUGGCUGGUGUGCUCCAUAAGAAGGAGGGCUGGGUCCCCGGAAGGGAGUCAGUGCAGCCAGACAAGCUGCCUUAUCCCAUGCAGAUUUUUCUGGUUGCCAGGAGAGGUCUCCAGCCUGGAGUGGCCCUGCUGAAAGACACCCAGUGGAGCUCCGUGAAGGUUUGGGAUGAAUGAGGACGUGGGAGGGAGCGUACCGCGUAGCAGCAGCACAGAAGGAGCGUAGGCUCAAGAAUCUUCUCCCAGAACAUGUAAUCUUACAGUUCACUUAAUAGCGCAUACCUUAGGCCUCUCAUCUUCCUAAGAGGUUGGUUUCAGCUCACUCACCACGUGAGGAGACCCUCGAGGUCUGCUCCAUGGCAGAUCAUAAUUAGGGUCUGACUUGGGCAACAAACGGUAUCAGGGCCUUUUCAGAAUUGUAUUUCCUAACAGAGAGAAGUUCCUCCUUUGGUGAAAGGCAUCGCGGCAGAGCCAAUGGUUGAGGGGGACCCGUUGUUUUCUUAGGGGGCAUUUUAUCUCCUCUCUGGAAAGUAUCGCAGAGCUCCCCAUCAGAGUGAUCGUGCCUCCCCACCUCUCAUUCUCCCUCACCCCAGACACAGACACACACACGCACAUGGACACACACUUCCAAGCCCCUUCACUGACUGGGAUGUCCUUUUUCUUUAACGUACACAGAAGAUGAGAAUAGUGUUGACAAAUAAAAAUGGCAAGCAAUAGGAUAUAUUGGAGAAUAUGAGGAAGCCAUUUGGUAUAAAUCUGAUUCGGCCUGACCUUGUCUUUCCAAAAGGGCCUGACCGAGGCCGUUGAGCACGCUUUGUAUAUCUGCUUUAGAGAUUCCCUAUGGCAAGAGCAAAAGGCCCUUGAGGUAAAGGUGCAACUUCC